rnacentral:rRNA from 1 species
UCAGUCGUGGUCCAAAUGGGCUCGAGUUAUCUUACUUGGAUAACUGUGGUAAUUCCAGAGCUAAUACAUGCAACUGAAGUCCCGAUCGGCGUGUGCUCUUGCACACMACGAGACRGAUGCUUUUAUUASACCAMACCGCUGAGAGAGCUUAUGCUCUCRUASACUCGUGUUAKGGUGACUCUGGAUAACACCUCUUUGACAAGCGCACGUAUCCWUUUACUUGRGACGGCKCUACCUCUUUCGAGUGUCUGCCUUAUCAGCUAUGUAUCGUUCGUUAUGUGCGACCGAUGGCUUUGACGGGUAACGGGGAAUCAGGGUUCGAUUCCGGAGAGGCAGCSUGAGAAACGGCUACCACGUCCAAGGACGGCAGCAGGCACGCAAAUUACCCAAUCCCAGCACAUGUGGGGGAGGUAGUGACGAAAUCUAACGAUGCGGGCGCCCCUUCUGGGGCCCCGCAAUCGGAAUGAGCGCUUUUUCUUUCUAAACACCCCGUUGAGAACCUACUGAAGGGCAAGUCUGGUGCCAGCAGCCGCGGUAAUUCCAGCUUCAGCAGCAUCUACUAAAGUUGCUGCGGUUAAAAGGCUCGCAGUUGAAUGUCAGUAUCAAGUACAGCGAUGGUGGACGUUGGAGUGUGGGAGUGCGAGUGUGUUCUCUCGUGGGCCGGUGUGUGUUGUAAUGACAUAUCUCUGGUUCGCGGUGGCGCGCGCGCCUCUCCAUUUAUAAAGCUCCCGUCCGUAACAAGCCUCCUUACUUGCGUACAUAAGUGAUCUAUCGGCACAUAAGUCGUGGCGCCCGUGCGCGAUACAAUUACGUGUCGUGUUGUGGGAUCACGUCACGGCGGAAAGUCGUUGAUCGAGAUUGUCACCUUGAGUAAAUCAGAGUGCUCAAAGCAGUCGUAAGGAACAUUUGUGCGGCAUUCGCGUGUCGUACGUGUUCUGUGACUAAUGUCUUUAUUGACAGACAGUCUUGGUUUUGCAUGGUAUGUCGGAAGACGCCGUACUUCCUGUUGGUAACGAGUCUGGUGCGGUGCGCUGCUUGUACUCACACUUAUGAUCGCGCUUGCAUUUGUGUGUGAUGAGUCUGUGUGUGCAACACGAUAUGAGACCAACAGGUGCGGAAUGAUUAACAGGAACGGUCGAGGGCAUUGGUAUUGCGAGGCGAGAGGUGAAAUUCUAUGACCCCCGCAAGACCUCCUGAAGCGAAAGCGUCUGCCAAGGACGCAGGCGUGGAGCGUGCGGCUUAAUUUGACUCAACACGGGCCAUCUCWCCAGGCCAGCACUCUUGUACGAUUGACAGAUUGAGAGUUCUUUCUCGAUUCAGUGGAUGGUGGUGCAUGGCCGUUCUUAGUUGGUGGAGUGAUCUGUCUGGUUAAUUCCGAUAACGAACGAGACUCUCCCCUGCUAACUAGUCGGUUGGAUCUUGUGUCUGGAGAGUUGUGUGUUGCGCGCGCUCGCACUUGUGUGCUCAGACUCACUCGGGGUUAAUUCCUCUUGUGUUAUGGGUACGCUCGUGUAUGAGUGUGUGUUUUCGUACACUCCAAGUCCGCCGCUUACUCGUGUGUACGCGAGGUGUAACAGCCGAGCCGAGCGCGUUUAAAACUCUUCUUAGAGGGAUUCACGGUUCUGAAGCCGUAAGAAACUGAGAGCAAUAACAGGUCUGUGAUGCCCUUAGAUGUUCUGGGCCGCACGCGCGCUACAAUGCCGGGCUCAGCAGGUAUCUAUCCUUCUCCGACAGGAGUGGGUAACCCUCUGAAAGCCCUCUCUAUAUUAUCAAUGUGGUUACGUGUGUGUUUACUCGCGCACGUUUCCAUAUCCCUGGCUUGCUUGGGCCUGGUGCUUGCAAUUAUUUACCACAAACGAGGAAUGCCUAGUAGCGGCGGGUCACUGAGCCCGCCGUGACUCAGUCCCUGCCCUUUGUACACACCGCCCGUCGCUACUACCGAUUGGGUGUACCAGUGAGAUCCUUGGACUGGCGAACCUUGUACACUAGCGAUAGAGUACAAGCGUGCACGACRGRAASASGCUCKAACUGGUGCACUUAGAGGAAGUAUCAGUCGUAA